rnacentral:rRNA from 1 species
CACGUAGUUAGCCGUGGCUUAUUCAAGGGGUACCGUCUUCUGCUCUUCCCCCUUAAAAGAAGUUUACAACCCGAAAGCCUUCUUCCUUCACGCGGCGUUGCUGGGUCAGACUUGCGUCCAUUGCCCAAUAUUCCCCACUGCUGCCUCCCGUAGGAGUCUGGGCCGUAUCUCAGUCCCAAUGUGGCCGGCCAACUUCUCAGUCCGGCUACUGAUCGUCGCCUUGGUGGGCCGUUACCUCACCAACUAGCUAAUCAGACGCGAGGCCAUCUUCCAGCGAUAAAUCUUUGACAUUCAAACCAUGCGAUUCAAAUGUAUCAUGCGGUAUUAGCAGUCGUUUCCAACUGUUGUCCCCCUCUGGAAGGCAGGUUCCUCACGCGUUACUCACCAGUCCGCCACUAAGUGUUCCCAUCCAUUGUCCGAAAACUCUUUCAGGGCACUCCGUUCGACUUGCAUGUGUUAAGCACGCCGCCAGCGUUCGUCCUGAGCCAGGAUCAAACUCUA